AGUUGUGUACGUCUUCCGUCCCUUUAGGUGGGAAUUGUUGGACUAUGGAACAAGCUAAGUUCCUUUUAACUCCCAACUUGAUGGCAUAGAUAGGUGGUGUGCAUUUACAGACUGUAAAGUUUAGAUUUGCCUGUAACCAAUGCUUCGGACAAGUUUCAGAUUCAGUAAGGUUAUUGGCAUAUUUUUUUGCUGUUUAGUGUAUUUUUUAGCAGU
rnacentral:misc_RNA from 1 species